GCCGUAGUUCCGUAGGGACGCUGCAAGUUAGUGAUGAUAAUCAAUGGCUUGCGAGACGCAGUUGAUUCAAAAUCAACCGUAGAAAUACGUGCCGGUUCGAGUCCGGCCUUCGGCACCA
rnacentral:tRNA from 2 species